rnacentral:lncRNA from 1 species
AUGACCACUCUUCAUCCUGUGCACUCAUCCAUCACCCUGCACUCGUCCAUCCCCGUGCACUCAUCCAUCCUUGUACACUCGUCCAUCCUGUGCACUCGUCCAUCCUGUACACUCGUCCAUCCUGUGCACUCGUCCAUCCUGUGCACUCGUCCAUCCUGUACACUCGUCCAUCCUGUACACUCAUCCAUCACCCUGCACUUGUCCAUCCCUGUGCACUCAUCCAUCCUGUACACUCGUCCAUCCCUGUGCACUCAUCCGUCCUGUACACUCAUCCGUCCUGUACACUCGUCCAUCCUGUGCACUCGUCCGUCCUGUACACUCGUCCAUCCCUGUGCACUCAUCCGUCCUGUACACUCGUCCAUCCUGUGCACUCAUCCAUCCUGUACACUCGUCCAUCCUGUGCACUCAUCCAUCCUGUACACUCGUCCAUCUUGUGCACUCAUCCAUCCUGUACACUCGUCCAUCCUGUGCACUCGUCCAUCCUGUACACUCGUCCAUCCCUGUGCACUCAUCCGUCCUGUACACUCGUCCAUCCUGUGCACUCAUCCAUCCUGUACACUCGUCCAUCCUGUGCACUCAUCCAUCCUGUACACUCGUCCAUCCUGUGCACUCAUCCAUCCUGUACACUCGUCCAUCCUGUGCACUCGUCCAUCCUGUACACUCGUCCAUCCCUGUGCACUCAUCCGUCCUGUACACUCGUCCAUCCUGUGCACUCGUCCAUCCUGUGCACUCAUCCAUCCUGUACACUCGUCCAUCCUGUGCACUCGUCCAUCCUGUGCACUCGUCCAUCCUGUACACUCGUCCAUCCCUGUGCACUCAUCCGUCCUGUACACUCGUCCAUCCCUGUGCACUCGUCCAUCCUGUGCACUCGUCCAUCCUGUGCACUCGUCCAUCCUGUACACUCGUCCAUCCUGUGCACUCAUCCGUCCUGUACACUCGUCCAUCCUGUGCACUCAUCCGUCCUGUACACUCGUCCAUCCUGUGCACUCGUCCAUCCUGUACACUCGUCCAUCCUGUGUACUUGUCCAUCCCCGUGCACUCAUCCAUCCCCAUGCCCUCGAGCAUCCUGUGCACUUGUCCAUCCUGUCACUGUAUCUUCACAUGUGUCACAGUCACUGCUCUCCUGUUGCAGUUUGCACUUCUCCACUCCCCCACAGACAAUGA